rnacentral:piRNA from 1 species
UGUUUGGUAUGAACACGGAUACUCAGA